rnacentral:rRNA from 1 species
GACAGAGGUGCCAAGCGUUAGGCGGAAUCACUGGGCUUAAAGCGUGUGUAGGCGGAUUUGUAAGUACCUUGUGAAAUCCCACGGCUUAACCGUGGAACUGCUCGGUAUACUGCGAAUCUUGGGCCAUCUAGGGGCUACCGGAACAAGUGGUGGAGCGGUGAAAUGCGUAGAUAUCACUUGGAACGCCAAUGGUGAAAACAGGUAGCUGGGGAUGUGCCGACGCUGAGACACGAAAGCCAGGGGAGCGAACGGG